CCGCAGAGCGGACUGCACACAAACCCAGUGCGACAAAACUAAGUCCGCGUUAGAAGUGCACAGUUUGGUGAAAUCAGAGGCAACGGAUUUAGCCUGAUUUCAAUAAAGAAACAUUCGUGAACCUCGUCGUGUCGCAGCACUGGCAAUACGUUUGCAUGGCUGUUCUGGCGGCAUGAUUAAAUCUGGAGAAAAGGAAGAACCCAGCACGUAAAACGCUCGCCCGAGACCGUCGUACAGGGAACGUCGUAGAAAGCGAAACACCCUCUCGAAGCAGGCUAUCGCAGCAAAUCAGCAAGCAUCUCUGCUUUUCGGUAACGGAGGAGAAGUGAACCGCCCAGAAAGAUCGUUCAACCGGACAACAGAAGACCCCG